AGGGGCAUCAGGAAGAAAGCUUGCUUUCUUUGCUGGCGACCGGCGCACGGGUGAGUAACACGUAUCCAACCUGCCCUUUACUCGGGGAUAGCCUUUCGAAAGAAAGAUUAAUACCCGAUAGCAUAAUGAUUCCGCAUGGUUUCAUUAUUAAAGGAUUCCGGUAAAGGAUGGGGAUGCGUUCCAUUAGGUUGUUGGUGAGGUAACGGCUCACCAAGCCUUCGAUGGAUAGGGGUUCUGAGAGGAAGGUCCC
rnacentral:rRNA from 1 species